CGGGCAGACUAGAGUGCAGUAGGGGAGACUGGAAUUCCUGGUGUAGCGGUGAAAUGCGCAGAUAUCAGGAGGAACACCGAUGGCGAAGGCAGGUCUCUGGGCUGUUACUGACGCUGAGAAGCGAAAGCAUGGGGAGCGAACAGGAUUAGAUACCCUGGUAGUCCAUGCCGUAAACGUUGGGCACUAGGUGUGGGGGACAUUCCACGUUUUCCGCGCCGUAGCUAACGCAUUAAGUGCCCCGCCUGGGGAGUACGGCCGCAAGGCUAAAACUCAAAGGAAUUGACGGGGGCCCGCACAAGCGGCGGAGCAUGCGGAUUAAUUCGAUGCAACGCGAAGAACCUUACCUAGGCUUGACAUGGACCGGACCGCUGCAGAGAUGUAGCUUCCCUUCGGGGCUGGUUCACAGGUGGUUCAUGGUUGUCGUCAGCUCGUGUCGUGAGAUGUUGGGUUAAGUCCCGCAACGAGCGCAACCCUUGUCCUAUGUUGCCAGCACGUAAAGGUGGGGACUCAUGGGAGACUGCCGGGGUCAACUCGGAGGAAGGUGGGGAUGACGUCAAAUCAUCAUGCCCCUUAUGUCUUGGGCUUCACGCAUGCUACAAUGGCCGGUACAGUGGGUUGCGAUACUGUGAGGUGGAGCUAAUCCCU
rnacentral:rRNA from 1 species